rnacentral:lncRNA from 1 species
AUGACGAUGCCAUACUUAAUUUCUUGCUUAGCUACCUCUAAUUUGUGUUCCCAUAGCCAUAGGGCUGCCUAUAGAAAGGAAGAGAGACAGCUCAGAUCCUCGGAGUCCAGCACUAGUGAGUUCCCAAGACCCAUCUCAGCUCUGCCCACACUUGUCCACCUGUCCAGCGCUAUGAGGGGCCUUGUGGCUGCUGGCUUUACCCUCCUCUGCACCACAGGCCCACGGCUCCUAUGCACAAGGUUCAAAAAGACGGAGCGCCUGGGUGGCACAGCGGUUAAGCGUCUGCCUUCAGCUCAGGGCGUGAUCCCGGCGUUACGGGAUCGAGCCCCACAUCAGGCUCCUCUACUGGGAGCCUGCUUCUUCCUCUCCCACUCCCCCUGCUUGUGUUCCCUCUCUCGCUGGCUGUCUCUAUCUCUGUCAAAUAAAUAAAUAAAAUCUUUUUUUUAAAAACUUCAAAAAGAGCUUGUUGAUCUGGGCUGCAGAAUGGGAGUUAGGAGAGGUUUGAUCCUACUUUUCAGACGAGAUCACUAAAGCCUAGCUUAUUGGGUUAUUAAUAUGCAGUAGAAUCUUGGUCUAUUUAGAUCCUAUUGCUGCUGAUAAGUUUUAGAAGAAUUAUAAAAUUGUUCCUACUUUCACUCAAUAUCUGUAUGAUUUAAUGGAUUCGAAAAAAAAAAUUUCCCCCAAAGGAAGUUAGGAAAAGGGAGUAGACUCUCUAUGGGCUGAUUCCUUGUGGAGUAAGUCAGAACUCAAAAUAGUCAAAAGCAGCGA